rnacentral:hammerhead_ribozyme from 1 species
AUCCAACUGACGAGUCCUGAAUAGGACAAAACACUCGUCCUGUUAGAU